rnacentral:rRNA from 1 species
AUGGACGUCGUGCAAACAAUCGCCUCGGCCGCGCAGCUGGUGUCUGCAAUGUUGUCCGCGGUGGGAGCGCUGGAGCAGGCGGCCGCGGACGCCGCUGAGGCUCCGAGGAGGCUCCAGGUGCUCGAGGAUUUCGUGUCGGACCUUGAGGUGUUGGUGCAGCAGGCUAAGCAGAAGCACGCGCACAAGAUGCACGGCCCGCAGCUGGAGCGUCAGUUUCAGAGCUUGAGCAGGCUCAUGGAUCAGCUGCGUGCCAAUAUCAUCAAGGCGAGGCGAGCCUUGAAGAAAGGGAAAGGGAAGGGCUUGGCUAGGGUGGUUUGGAGCUCGGUGGUGGGAGACCCCCUCAUGAAGUACAUUCAGCUGAUCAGAGAUGACCUCAACUGGUGGCUGGAAUUGCAGAGGUUGACAGAUAACGUCGGCAAUGCUAUAGCGUCUACUGCUAAGGGUACACCAUCGUUGGUCAGAGUCAAGUCUGAGCAGGGCUAUCCAGUGUCAGAGAAGUGUGACUAUGUUAGGGACAUUUUGGAGAGAGAUGAUGGUCAUCGAGUUGUCCUGAUUGUUGGAUUAUCUGGUAUUGGCAAGUCGUGCCUCGCUCGACAAAUUGCUUCUCAGCCGCCUGGUAAUUUUGUGGAUGGCGCAAUUGAGGUUAGUUUUGGCCGGUGGUGCAGUAGAGCAGCUUGUAAUGGAAGCAGAACUGAGUACCAUAAACGUCUUGUUAGGAAGAUAAGCAAAUUGCUAGUGCAGGUUGGUUCCAUGACUGUCAACGAGGGCACGAGCAAAGAUCUUGAAGAUGUAUGUUGCUUGCUUCAGACCGUGUUGGUUGGAAAGAGUAUGUUAAUACUCCUCGAUGACGUCUGGGAGCAAGACAUAGUUGAUCGCUUCACCAAGCUAUAUGAUAAUGAUUGCCGGUAUCUUGUGACAACAAGGGAUGAAGCUGUUUAUGAGAUAGCAGAGGCUGAAAAGGUAGAAAUAUCCAAAGAUGACAUCAAGAAAAUCAGCAAGGGCAUUCUUCUCUAUCAUAGUCUGCUUAGUGCUGAAGAGCUUCCGACUGUUGCAGACGACUUGCUGGACAGUUGUGGGCACCAUCCCCUAACAGUUGCUGUCUUGGGUAAGGCCCUAAGGAAGGAGACCAGAAUGGAAAAAUGGGAGAAAGCAAUAUCCAACCUUUCCACAUAUGCAACUUGUGCACCAGGUCCAGUUUCAUAUGUGAACGAGAAAGAAGUUGAGACCACCUUGACCAUAUUUGGAUCUUUUGAGUUCAGCUUGGAAGCAAUGCCUGAAAAUUCACAAAGGUUUUUCAUGGUUCUCGCAGCUAUUUCAUGGGAAGAACCUGUUCCAGAGGCAUGCCUUGAAUCCGUCUGGUCAGCACUUGUGCAGGACAGUUUAUUCCCUAUUGUAGUUUCAAAACUAGUAGAAGGCUCACUUGUCAUCAAACUGGAAUACCAGUCGAUGUAUCAUAUGCAUGACAUGGUUUCUCUCUACCUUGAGAACAAAGCAAAUGAUGCUGCUCAUACUCUUCUGACUGAUUCAUUUCCUGAGUAUGCUGCAUUGGUGGCUCCUUGGCUUUUUAUUUUUGGCAAAGAGACCGUGAAAGGGCCAGCUGAGCAGAAGAUGAGAUCAUUCUUUUCUUUGCUAGAGUUCAUGGAGAUUGAAAUUUUACUGGGAAGCACCACCCAAGCUCUCAUGGCAUGCAAAUCAAUAUCUGAAUUUGAGGCUAGCAGACUUGGCUUUAGCAAACUGCUUGGACCUCGAAUAGCGGAGCUAAUUUCUGUUGGGUCACAAGCUCUUAUCGUUGCUGUCACCAAAGCUAUUACAGUCGUCUUUUUCCAAGGAGACUAUGCAAAUCUCGCCCAAUCUAUUGAAACAGCAGGUUCUGUUGAUAAAUUAAUUUGUGUUCUUCGUGGCUAUGAGGAUUCUUCAUCUCUAGCCAACGUUUCUGCUGUUCUUGCCAAGGUAUCUGAGCAUGUUAGUGCCAAAACUGCCGACGAAAUUUUGGCAAGCAUUCCCAUGGACAGAAUUGCAGAACUACUGUCUCCAGAAAAUGAGGAGUGGCAUGAAAUUGUGUUCACAACUCUAGCAUCACUGAUAAAAGUGGGAAAUUUAAAGGCUGUCGAGAUAAUGAUCGAAGCAGGAGUUGACAAGAAGCUCCUUGUACUUUUAGGUUGCGGUUCUGAGAUCUCACAGCACCAUGCAAUUAUCAUGCUGAAAACUUUCUGCGAGCUUGGUGCACCACUUAAAGAGUGCAUGGGGCCUGGACUGUUGAUUCAUUUGCCAUGGCAUGCUCGGCUUGCCUUGGAGAGGUUUGUUUUAUCUGACCAAAAUGUAGCCCCAUCACCGAAGCCUCAAUAUUUUGAGGUGCUUCUUCACAGGAUUCUACAGACAGACAGCAAAGGUAUCAUUGAAGCUAUCCAAGGUUUAUUACCUCUUGCUGAGAGGGCUAACGAUCCUAGGGUGCAAGAUCUUCUUUUGGGAAGCAAUCUGUGUGAUAGGUUGGCAUUUCUGCUGCAGCGCAGAGAACCCGAAAACAACCAAGUGAGGUCUCAGACUGCCUUUCUGGUAAUGAAAUUGGCCUGCACCGGAGCAGAGCCAUACAUCCGUAGGUUCUUGGAGCUUAAUAUUGUGCACGAGCUCAUUGCCAUGAUGCAGUCCUCUACCAAUGACCUCCAGGAUUCAGCAUACCAUGCUCUCCAUCAGAUUGUGUAUGCAAAGGGAGGAUCAUUAGUCUUGCAGAGGUUUUUACAACUAGGGACUAUAGAAAAAUUGGUCAAUCUGCUCGACCGUAAGUGCGUCAAGACAAAGGAUCUCACGGUGCAACUUCUGGUGGACAUUGCGGCGGUCGGAACCAAACCCUGCAUACAAAGAAUGCUCUCUUCCCAAGUCAUCGAGAAACUUGUUUCCCUUGAGAAAGCAGGUGGGUCUUUCAGCGGGUCAGUGUCAAGAUAUAUCCACGGAUUGAACAUGUGCGAGAAUAUCCAGUCUGCUGAGAGAGCAGUGAUGAAGCAGCAUAUUUUGAGGAAAGUGAGAUCGGCGGUGAGAGGGCAUGAUCUGGAGACGAGUCUAAUUGCUUCUGUGGAGGUCUGCGUUUCUGAAGGCACAAAAGCAGCCAGCAGUAGCAGGAGAAACAAGUAG